CAGUAAUAUGGAUACAUGGGCAGGUUAUUCCCUUUUGCAGGCUUUGUUUAUCAAAGAGCAUAAUGCAGUAUGUGACAUGCUAAAAAACACUUUCUUGAUUUUGAUGAUGAGCAACUCUAUACGUAUGCAACAUUGGUGACUUCAACAGUCAUUGCGAAAAUCCAUACAAUCGAUUGGACCGUAGAGCCCUUAAAAUGGACACAUUGCUUGCAGGAAUGCGAGGAAAUUGGUGUGAAUUAUUGGGGAAGUCAUUCAAGGAAAAAUUCAGGCAUUAUUGGGGAAGUCAUUUAGUUAUAUGAUGUUAGAUUUUGUUGACAGUUGAUUGUGAAAUGGUGGAUUCAGUUAGUGAUGUUAAUGAAAGUUAGUUGCAAUUAGAUUUUAGAAAUCGAAAGUUGUUAGUGAGUUUAUGAUUAGUAGAAGAGGGUUCGGGACUGUUGGCUUUUCUGGUUUAGAGGCUGGGUCAAAAAAGUUAUGCCAUUUUGUUUUGGAUGCUUAGAAACUGAUAGGGGCUGAGUUCAUUUGUAUGAAUGUGCAGGGCUGAACAUGGAACUGUUAUGUUAGUCAAAGAAAUGUUUUAGUCUAAA